UUUAAUAGGCAAACUUAAAGAAAUUUAAGGACGCAAAGCUAUAGGGACUAAGGUUUAAUUACUAUGUCAGCCAGUUGCCAA
rnacentral:ncRNA from 1 species